rnacentral:lncRNA from 1 species
UGUGUUUUGUUUUUUUCUUGAAGAAAAAGAAUUGGGUUUUCUUCUCCUCUUUGGACUAGGAAGACAUCUCUAUAAAUAGGGAUUCUUCUAACCUAGAUUUGAUUGAGGAUUCUACAUACAAUACUUGCCCACCCAAGUAUUGAGAGAGUUCAAUUGUUGAUUGGGAUCACUGUAGAAGACUAUAGAGCUGGAGUUGGAUUUACUUCAAGAUAUCUGCACACGCUUCAAGAGGUAAUCCUGAGUUAAUUUUCAGCAUACUUUGUAUGUGAUGACUAUUUGUGGUUGUUGUUUAUAUUCAUGCAAGAUGUAUGAUUCUGGAAUGCUUCCGCUGUGUAUGCUAUUUUCUAACAGAUUUAGCUAUAUAAAUAGAUCACUCAUCUAUUUUUAAUUCGAUACGAGAUUAAUUAAACUCGUAAAGUGUAUAUAACUCUUAUCUAAUCACUUCCUCGGAAACACUACGUAGGAUCCACCAUAAUGGCAAAAUGUUAAGAAAUUCGCAAUUUCUUGGAGUUCAAAAAGAACUCACUUUUGUUAUGACUUUCAAAUGACUUAUUUUCAUUAAUAAGUAUAUACACUGUGAUAAAAAUAAUUUGUAGCGGCAAUAAAUAGACACAUGAAUAAAAAGUGUUAAUAUCUUUAUCGAUAUUAGUUAAGUGUCAUUUGAUCUAAUGUCGCUAAAGUCUUUAGGGGAUAUAAACAAAGAGUGCUAAUUGCCACUAAAAGUAUAUUUAACAACAAUUGCUAAUUAAUUGCUGCUAAAAAUCAAUUUUAAUAUAGUGAUAGAAAGUAAAAGUAGAUUUUCGCUUUCGAUGUUUUAACCAUUUUCUCUCUCGUAAUUUGUUCACUUAAGAUUUUUUUUCGGUAAAUUUUAUGCUUAGUCAACUAAUCAACCUUGCACUACUCAAGUUUAUGAACAAAAUAUAGCUUUUUAUUUGAAGUUAUUCUUUUCAACUCUUUAUUGGUUGAAAAAUUAAGGCAUAUCUAAUUAAUAGUUAAAACAAGAGAAAAUUGUAUAAAAUAAUAAAAUAUUAAUUUAAAUUAAAUGUGAUAAUCACGGUUUCAUUAAUUCUAAUUCAUAGCAAAUAUUUUUCAUACGCCUCCUCCCUAAAUUUCGCUUGACACUCUCUCUGAAUCUUGCUAACCACUCUCCCUCGUCUCUCACUUCAUACAAACACAAAUGUAUGUAUAAAUUGUGUUUGUGAGAACUGUAUAUACAAAUACAAUUUAAAGGGUUAUCUCUUCGUUCGAUAUACUUAUAAUUAUAUAAAUACAAAUUCCCCUCGCCCAGUUCUCUUUUGUCUUUCUCUGUUUCUUGCUUUUAUAGAAACACAAAUUAUAUAAAAUACAAUGUAUGGUUUGUGUUUGUAUAAAACGAGAGAAUGAUUUGAUAUACAAAUGCAAUUGUUUCAACUCGAUUCAAUUGUAUACGAAUUCAAAUUUUAUGCAAAUAUACAAACACGUAUAACAUAUACUUAUAGAAACACGAUUUUUUAUAGACACAAACACUUGAAUUAUACAAAUCGCCACGAUUUAUACAAAUCAGAUGCCUGCGAUUUUAUACAAUUCUGAUGCCCCAUAACAAACUAUGUUUGCUAUGGAGCGCAAAUAGUAAAAUUAUAACUAUAGAGCGCUAGUAUAAUUUUUAUGUUUGCUAAACCUAAAAUUUACUGAUAAAACAAUAAUAAAUGUUAUGCUAAGAAUUGCUGUACAAAAUAGUUUGUAAUUAUACACUAUUCUCAAUUUUAUCUAUUAGCAUUAUUGUGUAAUGUGUAUCAAAGUUUAAAUUCACAUAAACUCACACUGCACAACCUAGUGUCAUGAUGCACCAAUUCAUCAUGCCACUAGGCAUAAAAUUGAAGUCUAAAUCCGUGACAUUAGCCUCAAACCCACCCACACCAAUCUACUUGUCAUCUCUCGAUUCAUCAAAAUUUGCAGGUUCUUAAACACCUUGAAGAAAAACAAACCAAUGAAAUAAUUCAAGUGAUCCAUCAUUUUAACAUGGGCUUCUUACGUAAAAGUUACGUUCCAUCAGAUAGAAAAGAGUUCAACUAAAUGGCCACAUGCAUAUGCUAUACAUAUUAUAUAAAUAGUGUAUAAUCAUGUAUAUAUAAUGUAUAAUCAUGUAUUAAGAUGUAUAUAUAUUUAUGUAUAUUGUUAUACAAUAUUGAUAUAUUGCAGAAGUUCAUCUUCCUCAAUGAGGUGAAUUUUUUCUUUUACAAAUUCGACCA